GGGCUGGCUUUAGCCCAGCGGUUUCUUCGAGUCUGGCUUCCCAACCACCCAGGCCGAUUGGCCGGGGGGUUCCAGACCCGUGAGUGCUCUCUAGUCCUUUA
ensembl:misc_RNA Vault Vault RNA